rnacentral:rRNA from 1 species
GACGGAGGAUGCAAGUGUUAUCCGGAAUUACUGGGCGUAAAGGGCGUGUAGGCGGCUGAACAAGUCAGAUGUGAAAUCCCGGGGCUUAACUCCGGAAGUGCAUUUGAAACUGUUCGGCUAGAGUGUAGUAGAGGAUGGCGGAAUUCCCAGUGGAGAGGUGAAAUUCGUAGAGAUCGGGAGGAACACCUGUGGCGAAGGCGGCCCCCUGGGCCGGCCCUGACACUGAGACGCGAAGGCGUGGGGAGCGAACGGG